CAAUGGCGGUGGUUGAACGAGGAGCCAGUUUAUUCCCAAAUGGUGUUCCUUGGCUCUAUGCUGUGUUUGCUAUGCUUUUUGUAUUUUUUCUUUUUGCCAUGUUAUCUCCCUUUUUACUUGAGAUAGACCAGCACAUAAAGAAAUGCUGUCCUCUGGAGUCACCAAGGAGAGGAGUUCUGGGAGGGAAGAAAAAUGGGAUGGGAAACGACCCAUUACUAUUUGUGAAAGUGACAAAAGAACCCAGGGAUUCUGAGGCUGAAAUCUAUACCCCUGGGCCUUCAGUUUGAGAGUCAUUUAGCCUAUAUGGAAUUACCUGUGACAUUACAUUCCAGAGAGACGAGAAAUUCUGAGACCCUUAUUAUCGAUGUUUAUAUUGAAAAAAUGGUAAUAAAU
rnacentral:lncRNA from 1 species